ensembl:lncRNA
CUGAAGGGCAUCCUUCCUGCAGCUUGGCUGCACCACUUCUCCAACAACCUGGCCUGCCGCAUGAGUCCCAACUACCACCCCAACCCCCAGACUUCAAGCUCCACCAAGAGACUCUUGGGAGUGACGGGGUGGGUGAUGAAGAGGGAUUUAGGGAAUAAAAAGUGAUUGUGGAGAAAAACUGAAUGAGCUAGUUACAGAACCUCAGUCUCCUGGCUCUGCCUUGGAGGCGGGUUCGUGUGCAGUGACUUGAUUGCCAAUAAGAGGUAAGGGGCUAGCCAGGAUCUGUGUAGUUUACCUUACAGGGCAUAGAACUGAGGCUGUACAAAACAUACUUUUACACAAGUCUUACAUGAAUUUCAGACAACUACAUGUGAGCUUGUAAUGCCCAAGCACAGACAUGCUUUGUGUGCAAAUGCACAUGUUCAUCUUCAUUGGCAAACACUUCGAGUGUAAGUAUAUAAUGCCAGGCAGGAGGAUGCAUCUAUACACUGGAAAAUUGCAGUUAUAGGUAAAGUUGCACUCUCAGACAACUCUAUGGAGAUGCCUGUGUAGGGUUCUCUGAGACCAUGUUUUGCAUAUUUGCAAAACUUUCGAAGUUGCAAGAAUGUGUGUACAUGCUGCACACGCACAGAUGCCCUCAAAUGAGGAACGGACCAUCAACCCAAAGACGCGCGUGCGCGAGUGUUCACACAGACGUGUGUGUGCUCUAGCGCCUGCACAAGGCCAGCGCCCAGGCACACUGACGCCCGCACGCGUACACAUAAGCAUGUUUUACUGACGCAUCUGGGGCACUUUCUUUCAAAGAAAGGAGGGAAUGAAGAUCUAAUCUGGGAGUCACCGGGGUUCAUCGGGAGGUUGCCCAACGGGUAGGGAAAAAAAAUGUAACAGCACUUGAGCGUUUGUCCGUGGUACAUCUCUGUGCCCAAGCUGGAAGGAUGCAAUGCGUUUCCUAGAACUCGAGGGGCUGGCUCCCUUCGGAGCUGCGGGGCGGGGGAGGAGCACUCGGUUACUCUUUGCCGCGGGCUUCCCCAGAAAGGUGGAAACACACCCUGCGGCUCUUCACUUCCCCCAUGUCUGUAAGCACACGCUUUCUUCGCCACCUCUCUGACCAACAGCCCACACCCACCGCCGACCGACCCCGAAUUCCCUGACAGGAUUGCCGCCGGGUGCGCCCGCGCAGGGAUGUUGCUCUUGGAGAAUGUGAAGACAGUUUGCUUCUUGACAAGCGAGCGAACGGGCGCCCAGAUUUUUGCAGCCUCUCGAGUCUCUCCCGAGGGAAAGGCAGGCAGAGAAAACGCCUGAUUUGGGAGCCACCAGGGAAGGAUUCCGCGCAGGGGGAGCCGCCCUCUUUGGCCCCAGACCGGCCUGCCGGGGACCCCCUUUGGGCACAGCCAACGGAUGACCUGAAACACUGAGGAUGGUGCUGGGGGUUGGGGUGGGGAAAGCCUUUUGGAUAAUAACUGCAAAGAAGAAAG